rnacentral:lncRNA from 1 species
UUUUAAAAUGCCUUUGCAACAGUCUUGGGCAAUAAAAAUGUGAUGGGACCCCAUUUCAUAGGCAAAUAAACCAAAAGCCUAGUGAUUAAAUGUCAGGUACUUUUGCUCAACUCUGCAAGAUCAGUGAGGGAGUCUCAAGUUUCUAAUUCACUGCUUGUCCCCAGAAUGCGGUGAUACGCUACAAGGCGUCGUUUUGUAAGUGUGCUGUGUGUUCCCUAAUUCCCUUGUCGGAUGACAGGUGUCCAGCAGUCUUCUGCUUCCUGAAUUAUAGCCAGAACCAGACAGAUCCCUGCUUAUAAAUGUCCACUGUGUGUCCGUGAAACGUGAGCCUCCCCAUUUCUGGAAUACCUGUCACUGUUCUGGUGGUAUUUUGUUUCCACAUUUGUUGUAACCCAUCUGCCAACACCACUGCCUUAGUUUGUUUGUUGGACUUCUUUUUUUAAAAGCAGGUUUUCCUUAAAGUCUUUUAAAAAUUCCCCAGAAGUAUUCGUUAGCGAGGUCUAAAGUUUUUCUCUUUACUCAGGUUUC